ensembl:lincRNA
UUCAGUGACCACCAUUUUACCUAAUGCUAAUGAAUGUUUUGCUUUAUUUUUUCUAGGUGAGCAUCUUAUUGCCCUGGAAAAGAUUGUGGUUUUGUUUCAAGGAAGAAGAGAAGAAUGACAUUUUUGCAGAAAUCGGAUAUUGUUUUGCUUUGGAGAGGGAAUGCAUUCCAAUUUAAAAAGAAAUUCCAGUUCCAGCUUGUGAGUAAUUGACCUUUUCUGAUGCUAUUUUUUUAAUAUUAAAAAGAGUAAGUAAAAAUUGUUGCUAUAUAUUCUUUUCCAUUCUUGUGGUGUGUUGGAUGUAAGAUAACUGAAACAAAGCAGAAUAUGUGGAUUACAAUUUAGUCUGUUUGAUCACAUAGCUUCAGGCCUAGGUUGACAAAUGGUUAGUAACUGCACUUAAUUAAAAGGAUUCUAGUUUUGCCUGUUUGUUCAAUCCUUUCAGUUCUCCCAAUUAAUGAAUACAUACAUCCACACAAACAAAGGGUGAAACAUUCCUUAUUUAGUAUGAAAAUAUCUGAGACUUUCAUGAGUUUACUAAAG